GACGAACGCUGGCGGCGUGCUUAUCACAUGCAAGUCGAACGGAAAGGCCCUGCUUUUGUGGGGUGCUCGAGUGGCGAACGGGUGAGUAACACGUGAGUAACCUGCCCUUGACUUUGGGAUAACUUCAGGAAACUGGGGCUAAUACCGGAUAGGAGCUCCUGCUGCAUGGUGGGGGUUGGAAAGUUUCGGCGGUUGGGGAUGGACUCGCGGCUUAUCAGCUUGUUGGUGGGGUAGUGGCUUACCAAGGCUUUGACGGGUAGCCGGCCUGAGAGGGUGACCGGCCACAUUGAGACUGAGAUACGGCCCAGUCUCCUACGGGAGGCAGCAGUGGGGAAUAUUGCACAAUGGGCGGAAGCCUGAUGCAGCAACGCCGCGUGCGGGAUGACGGCCUUCGGGUUGUAAACCGCUUUCGCCUGUGACGAAGCGUGAGUGACGGUAAUGGGUAAAGAAGCACCGGCUAACUACGUG
rnacentral:rRNA from 1 species